AAAAAAAGNGGACUUUAGCCACUGGGUGUUC
rnacentral:piRNA from 1 species